CGGCAGCAGUCGUUGCAACCAAAGCACCCCACGGUCGUCCUAGGACUAAACCGGCACUCCGUCCCGUUAUGUAAAUUAUAGAGUAAAUUAUGAGUAAUUAUAAUUAAUUAUAAGCUCUGCUGAUUUCUUCUGCCGAGGCCUUAUCUUCGACUCCCUUCGCUGAGCCGCUUUUUUGACUCAACCGAAGACAACAAAAGGGAUUCGACGACGCAGUCCCGGAAGGGGCUCUUCUGCAUUUCCGGCCCGGAUUUGUUACGUCAACAGCCACCAAUGCUAUAAGAAGUGGACUACCCCUCGGCAUCGACAGUGGGCACGGCGAAAGCGCUGGGAGCAUGUGGCUUACGGCCUCUCGUUUCUUCGUCGUGCAGGCCACGUGCGUCGCUGGUCACCUUCUUCUGCCGAAACUUCCAUUUUUCGAGUUGCCGUCGCACUCCACCAUAUCGAAACCUCCGCAACACUUUCCGGAAAGCAGUUCGAUCAUGGCACUUCUCCGCGAUUAUGACGUCGUCAAAGUACAGUUGGAUUCCCGAAAUUCCCAGCAAGAGUGUUUCCAUACGCUGCUGGAAAAAAGAUGUUGCCCAGGAAAGCACCAAGGGAGGCUGCUGAGCCAUACAAGGCCUUUCGGCGUGAAAUGUGUUGUUAUCAUACAGCCAUCGCCGUGCCAUCAUUGUCAUGGCCGACUCUAGUGACCAAGUAUCGCAGAAAGAGUGGCAAUCGCUGAGACGCUUUAUGUCGCAUGUAGGGGAAGCAAUGGAAAUUUGAGAAUCACCACUA